rnacentral:rRNA from 1 species
AUUGAACGCUGGCGGCAGGCCUAACACAUGCAAGUCGAGCGGAUGAAGGGAGCUUGCUCCUGGAUUCAGCGGCGGACGGGUGAGUAAUUCCUAGGAAUCUGCCUGGUAGUGGGGGAUAACGUCCUGAAACGGGCGCUAAUGCCGCAUACGUCCUGAGGGAGAAAGUGGGGGAUCUUCGGACCUCACGCUAUCCUGUGGGCCUAGGUCGGAUUAGCUAGUUGGUGGGGUAAAGGCCUACCAAGGCGACGAUCCGUAACUGGUCUGAGAGGAUGAUCAGUCACACUGGAACUGAGACACGGUCCAGACUCCUAAGGGAGGCCGCAGUGGGGAAUAUUGGACAAUGGGCGAAAGCCUGAUCCAGCCAUGCCGCGUGUGUGAAGAAGGUCUUCGGAUUGUAAAGCACUUUAAGUUGGGGGGAAGGGCAGUAAGUUAAUACCUUGCUGUUUUGACGUUACCAACAGAAUAAGCACCGGCUAACUUCGUG